GUCCAGGUGACGCCAGCUAUGCUGGGCGUGAUUGGACAACAUGGGACACAGAAAGAUAUACUUGGACUUAGAGGGAAGUAUGACGUUGUCCACGCUGUCAUCUGCACGUGCAGUGAUGGGAUGUCUAAAAACUGAGAAAACAGACACAAGAUGUAGUUAGAUUUAGCCUGCUGAUUUUGUUUUCUUUAUUCUACCAGGGAGGUAUCUGCUCCACUAAGUGCUGCUCUGCGUCCUCCUCCGGGACGCAAUGGACAAGUUGGGAACUAAGACGUGUUGGUUCACCUGAUGAUGUGGCAAGUCUUUAAGAAAUGAAUGCAGCGCCAUCUUGUUCUGGGUCUCAUCAUUCAACUGCGGUUAACCGGCUCCAGGGCGGACACUGCAGCUGCUGCUUGGAUCCAUCUGUGAUCUCAGCACUCCCUGCUUCCACCCCAUGACUCCAUAUGAGUAAUACAUGGAGAGCUGAGGUUUCUGGACUAUAUUAUGCCUUGGUUUAUUUACAGUCUGGACUUUACCAUCAUCUCCACACCACUGUAAUAGUGUCGUGGUCAUGUUUUGAACCGCCUUAAAUCUCUUUGUCUAGUUUCAAUACGAGUGGCCACCAAGGCCAAGAGUGCAAUGGCACAUCAUACAAAACACAAGUGAAAUAAAAACUGUUAAUUUCCCAUUU